UACGUAGGGUGCAAGCGUUAAUCGGAAUUACUGGGCGUAAAGCGUGCGCAGGCGGUUUUGUAAGACUGUCGUGAAAUCCCCGGGCUCAACCUGGGAAUGGCGAUGGUGACUGCAAGGCUAGAGUUUGGCAGAGGGGGGUAGAAUUCCACGUGUAGCAGUGAAGUGCGUAGAUAUGUGGAGGAACACCGAUGGCGAAGGCAGCCCCCUGGGUCAAAACUGACGCUCAUGCACGAAAGCGUGGGGAGCAAACAGG
rnacentral:rRNA from 1 species